rnacentral:rRNA from 1 species
GACGAACGCUGGCGGCGUGCUUAACACAUGCAAGUCGAACGGAAAGGCCCUGCUUUUGUGGGGUGCUCGAGUGGCGAACGGGUGAGUAACACGUGAGUAACCUGCCCUUGACUUUGGGAUAACUUCAGGAAACUGGGGCUAAUACCGGAUAGGAGCUCCUGCUGCAUGGUGGGGGUUGGAAAGUUUCGGCGGUUGGGGAUGGACUCGCGGCUUAUCAGCUUGUUGGUGGGGUAGUGGCUUACCAAGGCUUUGACGGGUAGCCGGCCUGAGAGGGUGACCGGCCACAUUGGGACUGAGAUACGGCCCAGACUCCUACGGGAGGCAGCAGUGGGGAAUAUUGCACAAUGGGCGGAAGCCUGAUGCAGCAACGCCGCGUGCGGGAUGACGGCCUUCGGGUUGUAAACCGCUUUCGCCUGUGACGAAGCGUGAGUGACGGUAAUGGGUAAAGAAGCACCGGCUAACUACGUGCCAGCAGCCGCGGUGAUACGUAGGGUGCGAGCGUUGUCCGGAUUUAUUGGGCGUAAAGGGCUCGUAGGUGGUUGAUCGCGUCGGAAGUGUAAUCUUGGGGCUUAACCCUGAGCGUGCUUUCGAUGCGGGUUGACUUGAGGAAGGUAGGGGAGAAUGGAAUUCCUGGUGGAGCGGUGGAAUGCGCAGAUAUCAGGAGGAACACCAGUGGCGAAGGCGGUUCUCUGGGCCUUUCCUGACGCUGAGGAGCGAAAGCGUGGGGAGCGAACAGGCUUAGAUACCCUGGUAGUCCACGCUGUAAACGGUGGGUACUAGGUGUGGGGUCCAUUCCACGGGUUCCGUGCCGUAGCUAACGCUUUAAGUACCCCGCCUGGGGAGUACGGCCGCAAGGCUAAAACUCAAAGGAAUUGACGGGGCCCCGCACAAGCGGCGAAGCAUGCGGAUUAAUUCGAUGCAACGCGUAGAACCUUACCUGGGUUUGACAUGGAUCGGGAGUGCUCAGAGAUGGGUGUGCCUCUUUUGGGGUCGGUUCACAGGUGGUGCAUGGCUGUCGUCAGCUCGUGUCGUGAGAUGUUGGGUUAAGUCCCGCAACGAGCGCAACCCUUGUUCACUGUUGCCAGCACGUUAUGGUGGGGACUCAGUGGAGACCGCCGGGGUCAACUCGGAGGAAGGUGGGGAUGACGUCAAGUCAUCAUGCCCCUUAUGUCCAGGGCUUCACGCAUGCUACAAUGGCUGGUACAGAGAGUGGCGAGCCUGUGAGGGUGAGCGAAUCUCGGAAAGCCGGUCUCAGUUCGGAUUGGGGUCUGCAACUCGACCUCAUGAAGUCGGAGUCGCUAGUAAUCGCAGAUCAGCAACGCUGCGGUGAAUACGUUCCCGGGGCU